AUAUUGCUCAAUGGGUGAAACCCUGAUCCAGCCAUGCCGCGUGUGUGAAGAAUGUCUUCGUAUUGUAAAGCACUUUAAGUUGGGUGGAAGGUGUUGAAGCUAAUACUUUCAAUCUUCGACGUGACCAACAGAAUAAGCAUCGGCUAACUCUGUGCCAGCAUCCGCGGUAAUACAAAGUUUUCAAGCGUUAACCGGAAUUACUUGGCGUAAAGCGCGCGUAGGUGGUUCAGUAAGAUGGAAGUGAAAUCCCCGGGCUUAACCAGGGAACUGCUUUCAUAACUGCUGAGCUAGAGUACGGUAGAGGGUAGUGGAAUUUCCUGUGUAGCGGUGAAAUGCGUAGAUAUAGGAAGGAACACCAGUGGCGAAGGCGACUACCUGGACUGAUACUGACACUGAGGUGCGAAAGCGUGGGGAGCAAAC
rnacentral:rRNA from 1 species